GGCGGCUGGCAGGCUACAGGGAGGUUCGGAAACCCUCCGGUGGGAACCAGGAGUUUCUGGUCAAAGGCUGUUCCGCGCCUUCAGGGUCAGUCCUCGCUGCAUCCCUGUUCACCUUCUUCUCUCUCGGUCUCCAGGCACUUAGGGCAGCCUCACUCGCUAGCCCGCUGGGCGCCGCCACGGGUCUGGGGCACCAGGGCGGGGACGGGGAGAAGACAGCCGAUUGUUGAAGAGAGCUUUACUCCUGCGGCAACCCCGCCACCAUCCCGGCUACUGCUGCUGGUCCAUGACAGCGCUGAGGGCUUCUGACAGGCUACCACUGCGACCUCGCGGAGCAUGUCUCCCCUAUCCUUUGGGCGAAAUGCUGGACAAGCCCCGCUGAUCGCUCUCCACUAGCCAGAUCUGGCCAACUUCAGUGCCUGGCCCCCGUAAAGAAGAUCAGAGCAAGAACCUCUGCAUUUGUUGGUAGCUGCCAAAGAGUAAGAACCUCUGUGGGGUACUGCAUUGCUGCUGCUGCCACAAACCCAAGGAGAAAGACCCAGAAAGACCAAGGUGAUUUCCACAUGGGAGAUAUGGGGACUAAGACAGUAGGGUAAGAGGAGAAACACUGUCUCCUCCUUAGGGAUAGAUCUGAGAGCCAGCCAAUGAGACUGAAAGGAUCCAUGAGAUGCAAGUCCAAUCCUCUCUGAGAUGCUGCUCACAAGCCAAGUGACCAGAGUCCAGAGUCCACAGCUGGGUCCUGGGCCCCUUCAAACUACCUCACAGGGUUGUUGUGAGGAUGUCACGAGAUCAUGUGCCCAACACAGUAAAGAGCUCAAUAAAUGUCUCUUGAACAGAUCCAUACAUGUGAUGGUGCUUUGCAAACUAUAAAGCUCCAUACCAAAUGGUAGAGAGAGUCAGGACACUGUUUUGCAGUCACAUAAAGGAAGUGAUUUUUGCCACUCAUUCUCACCCCUCACUUAAGACUGGGGCAUGGGAAGGAAAUGGAGAGGAGGGAGAAGUUUGAAAUAGGAAAUAAAGGAAUAAGAGAACAACAAAUAAAAGAAGAACCUAAAGGCAGAUUAUUCUCCAGGGACCAACUUGUAUUUGAGAGUGGCAAUGAGGAUACAGACAGGAGGGACUUAGAACUCUUUCUAGGGACAGAAGAACAGAGUUCAAAUGGAUCUUAGAUAUUUACUUCAAGGCCCCAGCUCCUGUUUGCAACACCCCAAUGAUGGGUAACUGUUUUCUCCCUGAGGCAGCUGGUUCUAAUUAUAACCAGUUCUAAUGGUUAGAAAGUACUUCCUUGUAUUAAGAUGUUUCCUGCAGCUUUAAAUUCUAUCCCUUGGUGCCAUAUAGAAAAAAGCUAAUGCCUCGACAUCAUGUGAGCAUUCAAUAAGUGUCUGUUGACUGACAUAUGGGCAGGUGCUAGGGAGGAGUAGAUGAUCUCCUUUUGUGUCUUCAGGAGCCAGUCAGCACAGCCUUAUAUUUUACUGAAGGUUCAAUAAAUAUGUGUUGAAUAAAUGAAUGAAUGACCAUCCCAGGGUAGGCAUGACUGCUACAAUCUCUUGAGUUGAAAUGGUCCAUUAAAAGUCAUCCAAAUCUAUCAACCUACCUCUCAAAGAACUCUAAGCCAUCCCAUAAGAUUCUGAGCCUUCAAAAUAAGCACCUGGCUGUUCAGUGACUUUGGGCCAAACUGCAAUCUUACAGUGAGAAAACUAAUCUCUUAUUGAUCUACCCUCACCCUCUUCCACAUCCCAAGGCUGAUGGAAGGCAACAUCUUAAGUGGAAAAUGACUCUCAAAGCUAAUGUGUGACAAAUGCUCAAAUAGAGGGUGCUAUGGGAGCACAGGUGCAGGAGUACUUGUGUCCACCUGGCUAGGAGGGGCUGUGUGAGGACAUUCUAGAGCUGAGUCUUGAAAGAUAAAGAAGCUGCGUGUAUAAAUGAGGUGGGAGGAGGGGGCAGGUAGCUCAGAUAGAGGGAACUUCAUGGAGUCCUGAACAUGCAUUCAUGGGAAAUAGCAGGAGUUUGCAAAAUGGCUAAGGCUUCCUAAAUGGGGUCCUGAAAUUUGGAUGGAGGGGUGGUGAGAGAGCAAAUAACAACUUCUAAUUCAAUUUGAUUCUGGAGGUGACCCAGAGUUUGGCAAGAAGCCGGGCCGUGAUUAAAUAAUCACCAUAGCUACUAUGAUCAGCACUGUUCAUCUUCACCGCUCUCAUCUCAUGUGUCACCACUGGCAUCAUCACCGUUGUCAGGACUGUCAUCGCUGCUACCCGAAGUGUCAACAUAAUUGUUACCAUUCCAGCCCACUAGCAUUCCGACUAUUACUUCACCCAUGCUCUUCACCACUGACAUCCACCAUCACUCUUGUCAUGGCCCUCUGAGCCAGUGUUUCUCAUAUACUCCAGGAAGUUGGGGGGGAUAUUCUGUCCUUCUGGGGUGUGCUAGGGAUGCAACCCAAAACAGCUAACUACAAGCCAAAUUUUCUUUGAAAUGUUAUGUUGUGUAUCAAAUAUUUAUGCAAGUUUUGUUUUCUUUGAUAUAGCCAUGUUUGUUUUAAGA